GACUUCCAGUAGCAUCACUCCGAUUUCCCCUCUCACGGUCUAACUCCAGCAUAUUUCCCAUCGAUUCAGUGCUUCAAACAAAUCCACUCGUGCGAGCAGGUUGAGUGUCCGCUUGGCAAGCUGCAGUGCCUGGUCUGGUGAAUUACAACGUCCGGCCGGCGAGCUGUAGCAGUACACGGUGAGCCGGUGGAUCUGCAUGGCGAGAGGCUGAAAACCCCUGGGACAGCUGCACUGGCGAGCGGCAACAUGGCAUCGCGGCGGCACGUGCGUCAUGUCUUCUUGCUAUUGAUGCUCUUGUUUUUUGUUCUUCUUACUAAAGUAAUGGCUCAUUAGAUUAGUAAUGAGCGUAGAGUUCCAGGACGAUCCCUUGGUCGGCAACUCCCUCGUCACCAUUUGCGGCUGGUGCGGGCGCAUCGAGGAUGCCCAUAGGUUGUUCGGCAGAAUGCCGAGCAGGAACCACACUUCCUAGAAUGACCUGAUGCCGGCCGUCUCAGACGGUGGACUGUGUGACGAGGUGUGGAGCUGUUCCAGGAGGAAUUGCUUGCGGGGCUGAUGCCCUCGAAGCGACGCUAGUGUCGAUGCUCGCGAUGUGCGUUGCGCUCGGCUGACUGGAGACGGGCAGGGUGGUGCACGGCUUUGUGGUUGCAUCCUAUUUUCUUUGAGGUUAGAUUUUAGUUUGUGGGACAUAAAUCUUUUGCUUUGUACUGCUGCUAGCUGGUUUCCUUUCUUGGGUGUAUGAUAUGAAAUAUCGUGGGAGGUGCGGCAAUUAGAUGAGAUAGAUAGAAGCCUAGAACAUCUGGGCUUCACGAUGCCACAGAAGGUGGUCAUCGCCUUCCUUGUCUGCGCCGCCCUGUACCUCGCCUUCUCUGCCCACUCCUGUCGACAAAUAUGGUUUUCCGCUCUCUGGUUUUUCUGAUCUGGUUUAGUUGUUAACAUGUUUGUGAUGUCUGCAAUUAGUAUGUCUAUUGAACAUACUAUAUGUAUACUUUCAGAAGGCAACUAUUUCAACAUAAGUAGAACAAUACAAAGUUUUAUUCAGAAAUGAAAAUCGAGUUAUCUCGUUGUGAUAGUUUUGAACUACUCUAGUGUAGUUCAUGUGAAUUUUCAUCUAACAUGUAGGAAACUGAGAAUGUUCAUGCUGUAAUAUCCAGCACUUGUAAUGGUAAUACAGUUCAACUCGAGAUCUUGCUACUGCAUCCAAAUAAGAAUAAUGUUUUUCUGCUUGUCCACCUGCAAUACUGAGAAUUGUAUCCAAUCCAAGUUAGAGACAAAAGUUCAGUAUUCAAUAAUGUUCAGGUUGUAGUCAUCAUAGGUUGGUUAAGUCUGGCAAAACAAAGUAUAAAUGAUCGGUAGUAUUACUAAGGUACAGUGUGCAUCUUGUAUAGUAAGCCAAUCCUUUUCAGCAUUUUUUAGGUGGUUACAGUUUAGUUAUGGCUGCAAUUACGUCCAAAACUUUUGUUUUCAAGUACAUUGAUGACAGACAUUAUAUAUUUUAGUGCUAACUGAAAGUUAUGAACUUCUGAGAUUGAUACCUUUUUUGUUUGUGAAUCAUUGAUGAUGCUUCUUUGCGUAUCCUUGAUGAAAAUUAAUUAGAAUAUCUCUUUGUACACAAUGUUUUUGGCCGUAUCUUCACCUGGACAUUCUGAGCCAUCGAUCAGCACGUUCAGUCCUUUUUUUGUUUGUGACCUUAGAUGACAUCACGUAUAGUUAUCCAUGGCAGAAUACCUGUUUAGGUAAGUAUAGUCCGGCCAUGUUAAGCGACUUACCCUGGCUCUUAUUGAUGGUCAUUGUGAAGCAGACGGUUACAUGACAUUGCCUUCUUUUCAGCAUGAAAGGCUACUUAGAAUCGCUCGGUGACAUAAUGAUUCGAGGUAUGUAUACUCGCCCACAUGUGUUCCUGUAAUUAUUUGCAAUAUUUCGGCCCUUUCCCCCUAUUUCAAUGAUGUGGAAGUUGUUGAAUAGUUGCAGUAUUCCGUUUAAUAGGCAGUGUGCAUGGUUCAAUACUACCAUUUUUUUUUUCUCUUAGGUUUGGUGCUUUCUUGGUGUGAAUCCAUGGUAGGCUUGGAUAAAUAUUUCAGGUGAAGAAGAAGGGCAGGGCACUACUACACAUUCUGAUUUUAGGUAGUGCCAGAUCAAGGCACCCUGACAUGAUUUGCCAAUUUGACGUUAUACCAUUCCAAAAAAAAAAAAAGGAAUGAAGAGAAGAGGCAUGGUGGUGCUAGAGCUAGACGUUGAUGUAGUCAGACUGAACUGAUCCUGCUAACAUGGGAAAGAUGGUAAUAGUUAGUGGAGUAAAUAGGAUAUUGGAAGUCAGUUAAAGUGGUCCUAUGCGCUCUUAAGUCUGGAAGGUGGUCAAUAAUGUUUGAGGUGAUCAAAGUGGCAAGAAAAAUUGAGGUCCUUACAGAACAAUGGGAAAAUAGAGAAGUGCAAACUUUCAAUGACAGGUUGGAGAAUAAUGUUCAGUUUGGGUAUAGGAAACAAAACUCUUUUGAAUAAAAUGGCAGGUUCAAAUCAUUUUUCCCUGGAAUUUUGUAACGUUUCAAUUUUUCUUGAACUGAUGGAUCUCAUGUCUCGGAGAUUCUUGCAGGUUCACAUCCUCCUAAAAGGAUUGUAAAAAAUAGCUGUCAGUGCAGACAUUCUAAUGUUGGUGUGUGGAAAUUUUAAUUCAACCCAUGGAAGUACUUCACAUGGGCUUCUUGCAAUGGGCAAAGUUGAUCAACUGCAUCCGGAUCUGGUGUUAGAUCUGACUGUGCUGGUAUCAUUGAGAGGGUUAUUUCCAAGGUUGUUUCAGAACCUUUGCAUCACACAGGAAGGAUGCUUCAAGAGAUGACAGACAAUUCUAAAACAUAUUUGAGGGAGGCCAUGGUUUGGCACUGAUCUUCCUUGGUAUCUGAGAUUCUACGGGCCUAAUCUUGGUGGAAGUUGGGCAUACUGGAAGUUGAAGUUAACUGAAAGAUGAUAAGGAGAGGCUUGCAGGAAGCAAUAUGCAAACAUGGUCCAUUAAUUUUUGCGACAGAACAGUCUUCGAGAUCAGCAGAUAGCAUAUUUUGAUUUGUGCGAGGAAGCAGUCUUCAGAUCAACAGGCAUAUGCGGAUUCCCAAUUCCGGUGAGAAAGCAUUAUUGAGACUGGUAAGUAUCGUCAGCUGAUUCCAGCGAGGAAACAAUCAUCGGAUGGAUGGUUGAGAAAACAAUCUAUAGGCCAGGGAGAAAGCGAGCUUGGCGUGUUGUUGAUUUCAGCCAAAAAGUAGUCUUCUAAUUAUCAAGCAAUCAUCUAAUCAUCAGAUGAAUCGGCCAGAAAAUGAUAUGCAGAGGGAGAAAGUCAUCUACCCUGUAUGCUCUGAUUCCAGGGAGAACGUUGUCUUUAGAUGAUGAAUCGCUGAGAAAACAACCAGCAGGCUGAGCCAAGGAAUCUUUCUGCAACGGUGGUUUGUCGUGUGGUUUUGGCAAAAACCAAUCUAAAGUCAAGCUGACUUCAUGAGUUGAAGAUAUUUAUUGCUAGUGACCAUUAACAUGUUCAAAUAGGAAACAUAUUAAUUCUAUCGGUAGGUAUGUUGUAUCAAAUGUCAGAACGUGACAGAAUAGAAUAAUUUACUAUUUGAUGGUGUCGUGCGUUAUUGUAGUAUUAUUGGAUUCUUUUUUAAGUCACAAUAGUUGAAGACCGAAGAGAUAUAAAGCGAUAUAAUAUCUAAAGUCCUGAUUGUAUU